AACCAUUCAAAAUACAUUCCAAUAAUACCAUUCGUUUACAGUUUCAAAUUACUACUCCACAAAAUAUAUACCAAAUUAUCCAUAUAUGCUUCUCAAAUUCACUUUUCAAUAUAAAUUACUACUAUAUUGAAUUGUGAAUUUGAUUACAUGCAUCCACAAAAUAAACCAAACUAUCCAUAAAAUAAAGCUACUACCUAAGCAUGUGCAAAAAAGCCUAGUUCUCCCAAAAUACGUACAUUCAUCUAACAUAUUCACCGUUAACUCGACGCUCUACAUGUAGCUGCUCGCAUACGUUGCCCACUCAUCCCGUACUUCGUCAAUUUGUUCUUGUGUGUACAUUAAUCCACAUGCCUUAUCCCACUGAAAUAAAAGAACAACAAAUUUAAUAUUCAACAAAGAUACCAAAUCACAAGGAUACCAAAUCUGACCUGGUACUGAUGUUGCGCAACAUGAAAAACAUGAAGCCAGAGCAAUUAACUAACCAAAACCUGGACGUGUUUUUCUCAAGUAGCACUCAAAGCCAACUGCUGACAUCAUAUAACCAAAGUUAGUUCAAGUGUGAUGGUUACUAUAGAAGCUAGCUACCAGUGAUUGCCGCCUAUGUAUAUUGGAGGAUGAUGGAUAAAAAUGGGUAAUUUGCUUAUUUAAAGUUUCCAAGUGAUGUAAACCACAUUGAAAGCUACUUCUUUCUGUUAUAGAAUUAUAUAUUUUGAGUUUCAUUGUGAAGAAUAUCUUAAUGGAAACCUAGCAACUCUUUUUUAAUGUUUGCUCAAGGAUUUCUGAUUUUUCAUUUUUUAUUUGGAAUGUAUGUUCAUCCCCAAGUGGGGAGUGGAAACAGCGUAUCUUGGCCUCUUCCAUUUCACCAACCCUUAGAAUUUAGGAUUUCACAAUCUACCAGAAGCAACUUUUAGUAUAAAGCAUCAAAGAGAAGAAGAUGCAUACAAACGCAGCCGAAGAGCACACAGUAUAAAGCUGCUACAAUCGGCAAAAGAAUUAAUGCAAAAAUUGCUCCAAAUUUUCCUAGUUAAAGGCAUCAAAUAAGGAAAUAUGAGAAACUAAGAAAAUUAUAGAAAUAAUUAUUAAGACAACACGAGAAACUAAGAAAACAGAGAAUUAGUCGGCUUGGCGACUGAUUCCAGAAACAUCAAGAUCACAAUCCAGCAUUAGUUAUAAUUUUCACUUUAGGACAAAUUCAUUUUAUAAGAGUCAUACAUAAAAUAUUUUAGUGAGACCAAGAGGUAUUAGCAUAUACCUAAUACAGAGAAUAAAAUCAUAAAGACAGCUGAAAUCUGAACGACUGUUCGUCUCCCAACUCUUGUCAAUGCCAACACACCAGCAUUUUCACUUUAAUAGUAACAUAAUAAACAGAUACAUAUUUGGCGAGAAAAUAAAAUGCUUUGGCUAGGAUAUUUAACCAAGCUAGCUUUCUAUAUCAUUAAGAAAUGUCAAGGCCGAAAUAAAAUGAAAAGAGCACUAAAGGUAAGUAGGAAAAUUUCCCAAGAUAGUACAUUGGAUAGAUGUAAGACCCCAACUUUUAUGAAUAAAAAUGAUUUUUCUAUAAAUAUCAUUUUUGAAUAUUAUGGAAUGAAUUUGAUAUAAUGUUAUAGUUGUGGGUAAUAUUUAUAAAUUUUGCAAAGUACGCAAGUUGUUAUAUAAUAUUCGAUUGGUUGGGAAUAUUCAUUUUAAACAGAGAAUAUUCGUAUAACGGCACAAUCAUUGGUGGACCCCACAACAAAAUUAUUGUCGGAUUGAGAAAACGAUAAAAAUAUCUUUUUAUAAAAAUAACGGCGGAAGUUUUACCGUUAACUGUUGAAACACUCGGUGUUAAAAGUAUAGUAAUACGCGUGGUUGCAUAGUAGCACACGGUAUUGAUUAUUGAUGCUUACGUGAGAAGUCACUCAGUUUUGUUCAAUUAUUGUUAUAGUAAUUGUGCAUAGUAUCUCACGUUAUUUGAUUCAAUUAUUGUCGAUAUUUGAUAUAAUAUUAAAUCAAUAAUUGAGAUGAUAGAGUUGUUAAUAUUAUUAUUUACAAUAUUAACGAUGUCUAGAAGUUCUGCUAAGGAGAGGUUUGGUCACCUAAUUGCGCGCCAAUAGGGAGAAAUCCUUAUUGGAAAGCCCCCUCUUUCCUGGAAAAGACCUGGUCGAUUAAUAUUAUGAAUUAUAAUAAUGUUGAUAAAUGUUGUUAUAUAUAUAUAUAUAUAUAUAUAUAUAUAUAUAUAUAUAUAUAUAUAUAUAUAUAUAUAUAUAUAUAUAUAUAUAUUUUUUUNNNNNNNNNNNNNNNNNNNNNNNNNNNNNNNNNNNNNNNNNNNNNNNNNNNNNNNNNNNNNNNNNNNNNNNNNNNNNNNNNNNNNNNNNNNNNNNNNNNNNNNNNNNNNNNNNNNNNNNNNNNNNNNNNNNNNNNNNNNNNNNNNNUUUUAUUAGAAUAUUUUAUUAAAUCAAUAUGGACCAUCCGAUUAAAAGUAAAUCAAUCUGGACCGUUCAUGAAUUAGUUACUAUUCAGUCCAUUCUUCUGUAAAUAGAAGCUCAUUCCUUCAUUAUUUCUUAUGAAUUCACUGAAACUCUACAGAGAGAAACUAUAGAGAGAAAUAAGAAAAGUGUUCUGCUACUUCACUACUCCUAUAUCCAGUACUCUUAUUUCUAAGGUAAGGGGUGUUAUUUCUUUUGUAUUCAUGAAGAGAACUUCUGUUAUUCCAUUCUUUAUUAUUCUGUUGGAAUAACCUGUAUACGCGGACUACCCUAUACUUGGUGAAAUUCUUCUAUUAUUUCAUUAUUAUUAUGUUGGAACAACCUGUCUAUGCGAAGUACCGCAUACAUAGUGAAAUUAUUUUGUUAUUCCAUUCUUUAUCAUUCUGUUGGAACAUCCUGUCUGUGCUUUACGCAUGACCUGGUUCCGUUAUUUAUUAUUCAGUUGGAACAUCAUGUUUGUACGUUUACGCAUGAUCUGAUUUCGUUAUUUAUUAUUCAGUUAGAAUAUCUUGUCUGUGCGUUUACGCAUGACCUUGUUCUAUUAUUUAUUAUUCUGUUGGAAUAUCCUGUCUGUGCGUUUACGCAUGACCUGGUUCCGUUAUUUAUUAUUCUGUUGGAAUAACCUGUCUGUGCGGUCUAUCACAUGCCUGGUGAUUUCUUUUGUUAUUCCAUUCUUUAUUAUACUCGGUUGGUUAAAGUUUUGGCUUUUAUACUCAAUGAAAUUAGAGGAAUAUCUUUGAUAUAUGCGCUUCAUCCAGUAUCUUUUUAUGGAAAUAUUCUUCUGAGCAUUCUUGAAUUUUACUCUACAAAGAAGUUUCAUGUUGACAAUUUGGACGUUAUUGGUUCCUGGAUAAAUUAAUUCUUGAACUUGUUUUAUUGAAUUCUUAUAUCAUUGUCAUUAUCCUCAUGUUUAUAUAAUGUUGAAAGUCAUCUGUAGCCUGUAGUGCAUAGAUGGACUUGGUAUGAUUAUGACUAGGGAUUAUUCGGUAUAAUCAUGACCGUAAUGUUACAAAUGAUAUGGUAAAAGUCCUCAUUGGCCCGUAGUGCAUUGAUGGACCGUUGUUGGCAUGAUCAUGACCAUUGAUGAAUACACGAAUAUCAUUGGCCCGUAGUGCAUGGAUAAUUUAUGGUUGUGAUACUAAUGAAUAUCCUUAGUCGUAGUGCAGGGAUGAUGUGGAUUAUUUAAUUAAGCUGAGUCUCAGCGAUAAAAGUGAUGAAAAACCUUUUAAAUCAUAAAAGAUAGUAAAUUUUAUUCUCUACUUGACUCUUUUAAUGGAUUCUUAUUCCGCUGCAGUUAAACUUGAUGUCUAUUGUAUUUUAUCAGUUUAACAUUGUUAAAAACUAAUGAUAAUUUAUUCUGCAUUAUCUUAGUCAUAAUAUUUCUUACUGGGCUAGUUGAGUUCACCCUUUCUUUCACUGUUCUCUUCAGGAAAUGAGAACGUAGCCGGGACUAGUCGGGGAACGGAUUGACGAUCCAGAUGAUAGUAUUAGUAGUCCUCACUAUUCUGUUAAAUAGAAUGAUAAUAAAUGUAAUGAGGACUCUUUUGAGUGUAGAUAUUGUCUAGAUGACAAUAUUCUUAUUAAAACUCUCAGUGUAUAUUUUGUCAUAUUUUACACGACAGUUGUAUUAUUAAGUUGUAUUUAAAUUUUGUACCAUGUAUUUGGCGACUCAAGAUGGGUGAUGUAUACCUAUUUUGGGGGCAUCACAGUUGGUAUCAAAGUUUAGGGAUAUGAUCCCUGGCUAAGAUGUGAGACAAGAACUAGGAGAGGAGAGACGGCGAAUUCCUUCACUAGUAUGACCUACCUAAGUUUAUUUGGUAUUUAAUUGGUCGGUCAGAGUAUAGGGAUAAUAUGUGAUAUGGUAAUUAACCCUUGUUUUGUGGCAGUAUUUGAAAAUGACAUCUAAGAAUGUUGAGAACAUCAAUGGAGCACAGGAGACCGUUGAGUCUCCACAGAUCAAUAAUCAGGAUAAUGUGCAUCAGGAAGGCGACAAUCCUCAGGCAAACAACAACACGGACCAGAUGAUGAAUGAUGGAAUGUUCAGAGGCUUUAUGCAAUUCAUGCAACAUCAGGCAAGAGCGGCUCCUGUCCAAANNNNNNNNNNNNNNNNNNNNNNNNNNNNNNNNNNNNNNNNNNNNNNNNNNNNNNNNNNNNNNNNNNNNNNNNNNNNNNNNNNNNNNNNNNNNNNNNNNNNGACCGUUCAUGAAUUAGUUACUAUUCAGUCCAUUCUUCUAUAAAUAGAAGCUCAUUCCUUCAUUAUUUCUUAUGAAUUCACUGAAACUCUACAGAGAGAAACUAUAGAGAGAAAUAAGAAAAGUGUUCUGCUACUUCACUACUCCUAUAUCCAGUACUCUUAUUUCUAAGGUAAGGGGUGUUAUUUCUUUUGUAUUCAUGAAGAGAACUUCUGUUAUUCCAUUCUUUAUUAUUUUGUUGGAAUAACCUGUAUACGCGGACUACCCUAUACUUGGUGAAAUUCUUCUAUUAUUCCAUUCUUUAUUAUUAUGUUGGAACAACCUGUCUAUGCGAAGUACCGCAUACAUAGUGAAAUUAUUUUGUUAUUCCAUUCUUUAUCAUUCUGUUGGAACAUCCUGUCUGUGCUUUACGCAUGACCUGGUUCCGUUAUUUAUUAUUCAGUUGGAACAUCAUGUUUGUACGUUUACGCAUGACCUGAUUUCGUUAUUUAUUAUUCAGUUAGAAUAUCCUGUUUGUGCGUUUACGCAUGACCUUGAUCUAUUAUUUAUUAUUCUGUUGGAAUAUCUUGUCUGUGCGUUUACGCAUGACCUGGUUCCGUUAUUUAUUAUUCUGUUGGAAUAUCUUGUCUGUGCGUUUACGCAUGACCUGGUUCCGUUAUUUAUUAUUCUGUUGGAAUAACCUGUCUGUGCGGUCUAUCGCAUGCUUGCUGAUUUCUUUUGUUAUUCCAUUCUUUAUUAUACUUAGUAGGUUAAAGUUUUGGCUUUUAUACUCAAUGAAAUUAGAGGAAUAUUUUUGAUAUUUGCGCUUCAUCCAGUAUUUUUUUAUGGAAAUAUUCUUCUGAGCAUUCUUGAAUUUUACUCUACAAAGAAGUAUCAUGUUGACAAUUUGGACGUUAUUGGUUCCUGGAUAAAUUAAUUCUUGAACUUGUUUUAUUGAAUUCUUAUAUCAUUGUCAUCAUCCUCAUGUUUAUAUAAUGUUGAAAGUCAUAUGUGGCCUGUAGUGCAUAGAUGGACUUAGUAUGAUUAUGACUAGGGAUUAUUCGGUAUAAUCAUGACCGUAAUGUUACAAAUGAUGUGGUAAAAGUCCUCAUUGGCCCGUAGUUCAUUGAUGGACAGUUGUUGGCAUGAUCAUGACCAUUGAUGAAUACACGAAUAUCCUUGGCCCGUAGUGCAUGGAUAAUUUGUGGUUGUGAUACUAAUGAAUAUCCUUGGCCGUAGUACAGGGAUGAUGUGGAUUAUUUAAUUAAGCUGAGUCUCAGUGAUAAAAGUGAUGAAAAACCUUUUAAAUCAUAAAAGAUAGUAGAUUUUAUUCUCUACUUGACUCUUUUAAUGGAUUCUUAUUCCGCUGCAGUUAAACUUGAUGUCUAUUGUAUUUUAUCAGUUUAACAUUGUUAAAGACUAAUGAUAAUUUAUUCUGCAUUAUCUUAGUCAUAAUAUUUCUUACUAGGCUAGUUGAGCUCACCCUUUCUUUCACUGUUCUCUUCAAGAAAUGAGAACGUAACCGGGACUAGUCAGGGAACGAAGUGACGGUCCAGAUGAUAGUAUUAGUAAUCCUCACUAUUCUGUUAAAUAGUAUGAUCAUAAAUGUAAUGAGGACUCUUUUGAGUGUGGUUAUUGUCUAGAUGACAAUAUUCUUAUUAAAACUCCCAGUGUAUGUUUUGUCGUAUUUUACACGACAGCUGUAUUAUUAAGUUGUAUUUGAAUUUUGUACCAUGUAUUUGGCGACUCAAGAUGGGUGAUGUAUGCCUAUUUUGGGGGCGUCACAAUAGAAGUAUCAUAUUAGGUCAAGAGAUUAUUAGCCAAAUGUACAUAUAGCAAAAAUGAGUUUAACAAAAGUAAUCCUAAAAAGCUCAAGUUGAGGUUUGUUACACUAAUGCAGUAGAUCCUGUCACACUACCAAAGGCACCAUUCAGUAGAGUUCCAAUCCCCUGGAAAUUCAACAGAUUUCAAAUCAAUUAAGCAUAAACACUUGUGAGUUUAGUACUUGAUAAGCAGAAAAGCAUUUUGGAUGAAACAUCGUGUUAUUAAAUUUCUACCAGCUAGCCAAUACCACGGCUCAUAACAGAUGGUGGCACAGGCGUCGCACUCCCAUAUCUAGCUGUUGCAAUAAAAAUACCAGUAGACUGCAGACAACAAAGGAUUUACUAUGAAUAUUCUAAAACGGUUAUCUUAUUAGCAGAAGAAAAGAAUGAAAUAAAAAAACAAAUUAUGAAAUGAUAAAGAACAGUAAACCUCAACAGAAGCAGCAAAAGAAGUGACCAUCAUUGCAAAAGCUUCCCCAGUUGUAAAAGUUGGAGCCCCCUAUUGGAAUGGAUAAGGAAAAUAAAACCUGCAUGGUGUGAUAAAAAAAUCAAAUAAGAUGUACAUACUAGUCUAGUAGCAGCAGUUAUAUAGAAAAUAGACAGUACAUACUAGUCUAGUAGCAGCAACAGUUGUUAAGAGGACCUUUUUAAUCAAUCCUGCAAGAUAGCGCAAGACUAAUAUGUCUACUGAAAUGGCAGCCUGAAUCAGAAUGGUUUCCACUUGGCUAUAUUUGUUAAUUCUCAAGAGUUCCAAUUUAACAUCGUACAGACAAUAUUGUUUGUUGUAUCAUCACAGAAAGAAACAUUGAAAUAACAAAAUAUUUAGAAUUAGAGAUCCUAAUACUUCUUAGAAUUGUGCUGUAAUUUGAGACUUGAGAGCUAUUAAGCCAAUGUUUCUCCCUGUUUUUGCUUUGACACAGACUCGUGGACAUAAAAAAUAAGAAAUUUCAUACAACUGCAUUUUCAGAGGCUGCAUUUUCAGCACGCAGCCAGUCUUGCUAUUGUUUCCUUAUAUGUAGAUUCCUUUAAGCCUGUAAAAAUAUCAAGGUCUGUAACCAUGAGAUUGGACUUGGGAAUUUAUUUUUUUUAAAUGUUUCCUGAUAACUCCAAUCAUAUUGAACAUAGUAAAGCAAUUAUAAGCAAAGCAUGAAACAUUAGAAGAUUUAUAAUCUUUUUAGGUAAAAGAAGAAGAUUUUUUUGAAAGAAGAGUUGAUUGAUACAAGCAGCAAGAAAGAUGAGAUAUCCUCUAAACAUAGAUAUCUUAGCAAAGAUAAGUAGAAUGCCUUAAUACAGGACAGGUGCAACUACCAAGUGAACACACAUCUGAUACCUUCAAAUUAAAUAAUCAAAAAAUAACCCAGAAAGAGAAAAACAAAAUCAUUUCAUUGGACAAACAAAAUUUAAGAAAAAAAUAUAAACAGCAAAAUUUUGAAAUAAUUAAUUACAAUAAGAAAAGAACCUGAAGGGAUGAAACCAAUUUGAGGGCAAUAUCGUCCGAAAGUGAGCUUUCCAUAUACUCCGACUGACUCAUGUUUCUGUAAUUUCUGGAGAGAGAAAAUUAGUGGUGUUGAUGCCGUAUUUCGCCAAGCAAGAUGUCGCCGGAUUUGGUCCUAAUAAACCUCCAUAUACGGUUGAAUGCCUAUGUACUGAUUCUCACACCGGACGAAUUUUCCGGCGGCUCUGACCGUCGGUCACGGUGUACUCUUUAUGCAGGACCAAAUCCGGCGACUACUUGCAAAAAUACGGUAACAACAAUUGGGAAAAUGAAGGAAAACUUAAUCGCAUGCAUCAUGCAAGCUUAAUCAUUCCAAAAUUUUACUUCAAAAUCCCAAAAUUAACACGAAUUUGACUUGCAUUGGCAAGGUAUUGGAGGCUAGGGUUCUUCCUAUUUGACGAAGAGAAGAAAUAAGAUGAAGAGAAUUACCUACAUGCACCUUCUUCUUCUUGGGCGCUUGUUUGGUUAUAGAGGGCAAGGUUACCUUCUAAUUUGGGGUUGCGAUAGAUUAGAGCAUAAUCAGAUAAUGGAGUUAGGGUUUGAGUACUUCGAAAAGGGGAAGGGAACAAAUGAAGUAAAGUUUCCUGAUACCUCCGUGUUUUUUUUAACCGACUGCACAUAGC
rnacentral:lncRNA from 1 species